rnacentral:ncRNA from 1 species
UAUGCGCAGGUGCGCCUGGCGCAGAAUACGGAUUGUGUUUCCUCGGUUUUGCGCAGUACACUUUAUCUAUUCUGCUUUGCUAUAACGACGUAGAAUACAGUGCUCGCAUGAGCUACACUUAGACUUCCGUUUUCGGAUUAAAACUUUGACGUUCCAAAAAAACAAAAAAAAAUAUGCGACACUUACCCAAAUUUCCUCCAUCUCAGAAACACGCUAAUGGUAGGAGCGACAAUUGGCUUGUGGCAGCCAAGCGUUCAUAGCGACGUUGCUUUUUGAUCCUUCGAUGUCGACUCUUCCUAUCAUACUGAAGCAGAAUUCAGUAAGCGUUGGAUUGUUCGCCCACUAAUAGGGAACGUGAGCUGGGUUUAAACCGUCGUGAGACAGGUUAGUUUUACCCUACUGAUGAAAUGUUGUUGCAAUAGUAAUUGAACUUAGUACGAGAGGAGCCGUUCAUUCGCAUAAUUGGUAUUUGGGCCUGCCUUAGCAGGCGAUGGCCCGAAGCCAUCAUCAUUCGGGUUAUGGCUGAGCGCCUCUAAGUCAGAUCCCGCGCUACAACGUGACGAUUAUCGCCCUUUCCGAUUUUCAGUCGAAUGCGAAUGGACCUUCGGAUCCUGAAUCAUACUGCAAGGUCGGUCUUGCAGGGUGGAAGGCUUUGCGAGGCUCCUCUUAAUGUUAUUCUCAAACAUUGGAAGAGAUAAAUCCAUUGCAGAUGACCUUCAUCGAACGGGGUAUUGUAAGCAGUAGAGUAGCCUUGUUGCUAAAUUUACGAUCUGCUGAGAUUAAGCUCAUUGUUCUAUAGAUUUGC